UUAAAUUGAAGAGUUUGAUCAUGGCUCAGAUUGAACGCUGGCGGCAGGCCUAACACAUGCAAGUCGAACGGUAACAGGAAACAGCUUGCUGUUUCGCUGACGAGUGGCGGACGGGUGAGUAAUGUCUGGGAAACUGCCUGAUGGAGGGGGAUAACUACUGGAAACGGUAGCUAAUACCGCAUAACGUCGCAAGACCAAAGAGGGGGACCUUCGGGCCUCUUGCCAUCGGAUGUGCCCAGAUGGGAUUAGCUAGUAGGUGGGGUAACGGCUCACCUAGGCGACGAUCCCUAGCUGGUCUGAGAGGAUGACCAGCCACACUGGAACUGAGACACGGUCCAGACUCCUACGGGAGGCAGCAGUGGGGAAUAUUGCACAAUGGGCGCAAGCCUGAUGCAGCCAUGCCGCGUGUAUGAAGAAGGCCUUCGGGUUGUAAAGUACUUUCAGCGGGGAGGAAGGGAGUAAAGUUAAUACCUUUGCUCAUUGACGUUACCCGCAGAAGAAGCACCGGCUAACUCCGUGCCAGCAGCCGCGGUAAUACGGAGGGUGCAAGCGUUAAUCGGAAUUACUGGGCGUAAAGCGCACGCAGGCGGU
rnacentral:rRNA from 1 species